GCAAUCUGCCCUGCACACCGGGAUAAGCCUGGGAAACUGGGUCUAAUACCGGAUAGGACCACUUGGCGCAUGCCUUGUGGUGGAAAGCUUUUGCGGUGUGGGAUGGGCCCGCG
rnacentral:rRNA from 1 species